rnacentral:rRNA from 1 species
GACGAGGGGUCCAAGCGUUGUUCGGAAUCAUUGGGCGUAAAGCGGGUGUAGGUGGCUCUAUAAGUCAGACGUGAAAUCCCUCGGCUUAACCGGGGAACUGCGUCUGAUACUGGAUGGCUUGAGUGUGGGAGAGGGAUGCGGAAUUCCAGGUGUAGCGGUGAAAUGCGUAGAGAUCGGGAGGAACAUCUGUGGCGAAGGCGGCCAUCUGGACCAGCACUGACACUGAGGCACGAAAGCGUGGGGAGCAAACAGG